CCUGAGCCCUCAUUCUGUCUACGAGAAGUCUCCUAAUCUCUUGGCUGCCUUGCCUCUUCUGCCUGACUUAAUCCUGAAAUAAUGACAGAGGGCAGUGUAAACCCUGUGAUAGAAAGGGCGGGCUCCCCAGGUGAUCUGGCCUGAGAAAGAAUACAUAAAAUCCUGUGAAACCUGCUUUGCUAAGAAUGCUAUUAAUUAAAUAAGAA